GAAAGCGUGGGGAUCAAACAGGAUAAGAAACCCAGGUAGUCCACGCCGUAAACGAUGAGUGCUAAGGGUUAGGGGGUGUCCGCCCCUUAGUGCUGCAGCUAACGCAUUAAGCACACCGCCUGGGGAGUACGACCGCAAGGUUGAAACUCAAAGGAAUUGACUGGGACCCGCAAAAGCGGUGGAGCAUGUGGUUUAAUUCGAAGCAACGCGAAGAACCUUACAAAAUAUUGACAUCCUUU
rnacentral:rRNA from 1 species